CAGAAUCAGCGGGGAAAGAAGACCCUGUUGAGCUUGACUCUAGUCCGACUUUGUGAAAUGACUUGAGAGGUGUAGGAUAAGUGGGAGCUUCGGCGCAAGUGAAAUACCACUACUUUUAACGUUAUUUUACUUACUCCGUGAAUCGGAGGCGGGGUACAACCCCUGUUUUUGGUCCCAAGGCUCGCUUCGGCGGGUCGAUCCGGGCGGAGGACAUUGUCAGGUGGGGAGUUUGGCUGGGGCGGCACAUCUGUUAAAAGAUAACGCAGGUGUCCUAAGAUGAGCUCAACGAGAACAGAAAUCUCGUGUGGAACAAAAGGGUAAAAGUGUUGUAAAACUCUUAGUUGUAUUGAAUAAUGAAUGAGGUUCAAUACAUAUAUAUACAUGAUGAGAGGAGACAAAUCCUCAUUGGGUUAGUAAACCCUAAAGCCCAAAAGCCCACUAAGUACAAUAUAGACCGUCAUAAGGAGAAUCUUCUAGAACAUGGGCCUGGGCCUUCAAGGACUUGGACAUGGGCCUUAUAGAAUAUGGAUUAGGCCCACGGUUAUGGAGUCCAUCCAAUAUGUGAUUUAUAACACUCCCCCUUGGAUGACAUAACCGUGUAGAUGCCAAAGGAUCUCAGUAAUACGCUUGGGGAUGCUGCCUCAUUAAAACCUUACCAGGAAAACCCAUUGGGACAAAACCAUGGUGAAGGAAAAAGAGUACAGCACGUAUUACUCCCCCUGAUUUGGUCAUCCCUGUAAGUCCUUAAGUCUCCGCAUUCCAAUUUGAUGCGUGAGCUUCCUCAAUGUCGAUGUUGGUAAUGCCUUGGUGAAUAGGUCGGCUGAAUUGUCACAGGAUUGAACUUGUACCACUCGAACUUCUCCAUCCCUUUGUAAGUCAUGCGUGAAGAAGAACUUUGGUAGAAUGUGCUUCGUCCGAUCUCCCUUGAUGUAGCCGUCCUUGAGCUGAGCGAUACAGGCUGUGUUGUAUCCUCAUAUGAUGGUCUUUGAUGUUGUAGUAGCUGCGUCUUGAAGAAGACUGCCUACGUACCCUUGGAAGGGAUCAAGCCACACGUAGUUCCUAUUUAUUGACCAUGCCAUAAUCUGAUCUUACCUGCAUUAGCAAAACAAACUAAACCAAAGCAAACUAGACCUUCUUUGGUUAGAUCAGUAUAGAAUAAAACCCAAAUAAACAAACAUAGGAAGAAUAGAAUUUAAAAUUUAACCAAACCUUCCUUCAAACCUUUCUAGUGCCUUUGGGUUGAUCAUGAACUAAAUUUAGACAAAGGAGGUUCACGGCAAAACAUAUAUCUGGUCUAGUGUGGCUAGCCCAGUACAUUAACGCUCCUAUGGCACUGAGGUAUGGCACUUCAGGACCGAGAACUUCUUCCUCGUCCUUCUUUGGACCGAAUGGAUCACUAUCCAAUCUAAGGCUUCUCACCACCAUUGGGCUGCUCAAUGGGUGGGCCUGGUCCAUAUUGAAUCUCUUGAGUACUUUUUCAGUAUAUGCCUUUUGAUGCACAAGGAUUCCAUUAUUCACGUACUCAAGUUGCAAUCCCAAACAGAAUUUUGUCUUGCCUAGGUCUUUCAUCUCAAAUUCUUUCUUUAGAUAUUCGACUGUUUGGGCGAUUUCCCCAGAGGUUCCAAGGAUGUUUAAAUCAUCCACAUAUACUGCUAUUAUCACAAAUCCUUUGUUUGCGAAUUUCUUUAUGAAGAUACAUGGACUGAUGGGAUCAUUUUAUAACCUUCUCUGACUAGGUAAUCGCUUAAUCUAUUGUACCACAUGCGCCCACUUUGUUUCAGUCCAUAAAGCGAUUUGUUCAGCCUUAUGCAGUAUUGGUCCCGAGACCCUUUCUUAUCUUUAUCUUUGAGCUCAAUACCCUCUGGUAAUCUCAUAUAUAUUAUCCAGUGGACUUAUAUAAAUAUGCGGGCAUUACAUCCAUUAGCCGCAAAUCAAGUCUUUCUCUUUUAUAUAUAUAGCCAGACUUAGCAAAAUUUUAAAUGUCUUAGCAUCCACCACAGGGGAGUAUGUCUCUUCAUAAUCUAUCCCCGGUCUUUGUGAGAAUCCUUGUGCUAUAAGCCGUGCCUUAUAUCUCACGCUUUAUUAUUCUCAUUUCUUUUCUCACAAAGACCCACUUGUGUCCUACUGGUUAUGGUCUUGUACCAUUUUAAUGAUUCUUAGCUCCACGUUUUAUGGUCUUGUACCAUUUUAAUCAAUCAAGUCUUUGAGUGCACUCUAGUAUAGACGUGGGCUCCUGAUCCUCAUUUAUUUCAGUUGCUACCUUGUGCGCAAAAUUAUCUUAUGUCGACAUUUCUUAUAUGUUCCAUUAUGUUCCAGACAUGAUAUCAUCGAUUGAGAUUUAUUAUGGUCAGGACCUUUAAUACUUUGCAGCUUGGCGUCCCAAGCUACAUUAUAUGGUACCUGUACCUUAGAGCCGGCCGGCCUUAUCUCUAUGUCUAGGAUGGUUUCCUUAAUAACCUCGGUUCCUAUUGCACCUUUCUUUAAUUUCCGAGGAUUUUAUCUUUGGAACCUAUUGGUCUACCACGUUUAUUACGUGUGUUAGACUCUGUAGCAAUUUGAUUGUGUUCCUUGUGAACAUCAAUACGUACUGGUGCAUUACAAGCUGGUAUGUACGCUUAUAUAACUCUUUUUGGGUCAUCAAAAGAAUCUGGCAAUUCAUUAGCUAGCUUUUCAAAUGUAUAAUCUUAUGGACCUCUGAUUCUCAUGCCAGAGUCCGAGGAUCUUGCCAAUUUAAGGAUGUUUGAUUCCAUGAUAUUUCUUUGAUAUCUUUACCCAGCUUGUUCGUCUCUCCACCUAAAGUAGGAAAUUCGGAUUCAUUAAAAUGACAAUCCGCGUAUCUAGCCUUAAAUAGAUCACCCGUAGUUGGCUCUAGAUACUUAAUAAUGGUGGGAGAAUCAAAUCCAACAUAUAUUCCCAUCCUCCUUUGAGGUCCCAUCUUUGUUCUAUGUGGUGGUGCAAUCGGUAUAUAUACGGCACACCCGAAAGUCUUUAGAUGGGAUAUGUCUGGCUCAUGACCCAUGAGUAAUUGGGAUGGUGAAUAUCUAUGUUCACUAGAUGGCCUUAUGCGUAUGAGUUCUGAAGAAUGUAAAACAGCGUGUCCCCAAGCGGCUACUGGAAGCUUCGACCUCAUGAGUAAUGGUCGAGCUAUCAAUUGAAUUCGUUUAAUGAAGGAUUCCGCUAAUCCAUUCUGUGUAUGUACAUGUGCUACGGGAUGUUCCACACUUACCCCCAUGGACAUACAGUAGUCAUUAAACGCUUGGGACGUGAAUUCACCGGCAUUAUCUAGACGUAUAGUCUUAAGCGGAAAGUCUGGAAAGUGGGCUCGCAGUCUUAUUAUCUGGGCCAAUAACCUAGCAAACGCUUGGUUUCUAGUAGAUAGGAGACAAACAUGCGACCAUCUUGUCGACGCGUCAAUGAGAACCAUAAAGUAUCUAAACGUCCCACAUGGUGGGUGUAUUGGUCCACAUAUAUCCCCUUGUAUCCUUUCCAGAAAAUUUAAGGUCUCUUUAUUUACCUUAGCCGGUGAUGGCCUUAUAAUGAGUUUCCCUUGUGAACAUGCUUCACACGUGAGAUUCUUAGGGAUAACUCUUUUCUCUCUUAGGGUGUGCCCCUUUGAAUUAGUCAUUAAUUUACGCAUCAUAUUCUGACCCGGAUGGCCAAGCCGGUCAUGCCAUAAAGUGAAUUUCUCGAUGAACUCUUUGUUCAUUGCCAUAUUAGCUUCGAUCAUAUCGAUUUUAGCAUAGUAGAGACUAGUGGAUAAUGCGGGUAUAGUCUCUAGGACUUUCUUAUGUCCUUUGGUGAUCUCAAUUAUAUUUAGGAAUUCUUUGUUCCCUUCACCCUUUGUUUCAAUAUGGAAACCAUCCAAUCUUAUAUCUUUAAAACUCAAUAAGCUCCUUUUUGAGCUGGGUGAAAACAAGGCACCGCUUAGUUCAAGAUGCGUGCCCUUUGAUAAAAGUAUAUGGGCUUGACCGUGGCCCUCAAUAAGACUAGCUAUACCCGCUAUGGUGCUAAUAUUGGCAUUUUUCAUUAUGAGAUUUAGAAAAUAUCUCUUGUCCUUUUAAGAUCAUGUGGCUUGAUCCACUAUCAACCACAAGUAUCUUCUUGUCCUUAGUUAUUUCUUAUAUGGACAAGAAUCAUGUUCUAAACAUAAAAUAAUAUAAAAUAAAUUCAAGCAAAUAACAAUCAAUGAACACAUAAAAUGCAAAGAAAAACAUAGAGGUUUUUGAUGUCGAAGUAAGAUUUAUCAACUUGAUUCUUUUAUGCAAUAUGAAGUUUCAUACUCUAUUAGAUCAUCUUGAUCAUGUUCACCAUCUUUAUAUAUACCAAAUGGGUUUUAGGAUUCUUCCCUUUUACACUCUCUUGAUAGAGGUCACAACGAUGUUUGGAAGUCCUACAUAUCUUAGCCCAAUGGUUUCCCAUUCCAUAUCUAUGGCAUACUCAUUUGGUCGAGUGUUGUGGUUUGGAAAUACCACAUCGUCCUCGCCCUCGACCACGGCCGGAAUUGGGUCUACAUCCACGGUUAUAGUGGUUCCCACGGCCGGAUGAGUUACAGUGGCCACAACCACGUCCUUUCCAUCCACCACGGUCACGGCCGUGUGGUCUAUCACUUUAGACGUGGUUAGAUUCUUUGGAUUCUUUCUUAUCCUCUGCGGCCUUAUUGGCAUUAGGUAAUGGGGUUAAUCUAUGAGGUCGUAAUCUAUGAGACUCUCAAUAAGACGGUGGCUAAUAUUGCCUUGUAUCUAUCUUUCUCUCUUGGCGUUAUUGCCUUAUUAGAUACAUUUACCAAGUCCUUUUGACUUUAGGAUAAUCUUAGUAUCCAUUGCCCAUUUUAAAUAAUUAUCUCCUAAGAGAUUUAGGGCAGUAAAGUACAAGUUGUAAUUCAACAUCUACAAGGAAAAGUUUUGAGUCAAAAUCAUGUAAUCGUUAGUGUCAUGCGGUAUUUGAGACCGAAACAUGAAUCGAUUUACUUAGGGAUUUGACUUUCCUCUUUUGCUUAGGAU